UGCAUUUGCAGAACACUUGCAUAAGCCCACUAGCCAAAACUUAAGCUAAAAUCAUCUCUUCUUGUAGUGGCAAGCAUAUGGGGGCUUGUUGCUUUGAGGCUUUCAGAUGAGGAGAUCCUACCCUUCAACUACAGCUCUUAUGUAACAGAGCUUGAGAAUGGUGCUGUGGAUAUAAAUAAGAGAGUACUAGGAAUGCCUGUCAGCUUAUCUCCCCUCCACAAGUCAAUCAAACAGCUCAAUAGAGCAGUGCUGAAAGUGGAUUCUGAACUUCAGGCUCUGCAAACAUGGAAAUUUUGGUCCCCGUGGCGAAACGACCGGUUGAGGGUAAGAGAUCUGAAUGACCGGCUGAUGAUGACCGAACGGGCAUUCACAGAGAGGGAAGGACUGUCUGGGAGACCAUGGUACAAACACAUGAUUUAUGGACCUUCACUGUACAACGAUUAUGGAGCGGAAGUGUAUCCAGGUGUGGAUGAUGCCAUUCAGACUGCAAAGAAAACAAAUACCUCCGAGUCCUGGCAAUCUGUACAGCAUGAGAUCCACAGGAUUGCUAGAGUCAUCAGCCAAGCCGCGUUAGUCCUAAGUGGAGGGUUGACAUGAAGCUUUUUCCUCUGCUGACUCAAUUAGCAGGGAGCGUACAGUCUGCAAAUGUUUCAUGCAUAAGCUAUAUCACCAUAACCACACAUGUAACUUUGAGAAAAUAACCAUAAAGUUGUCCAGAGAUGGUAUUUGGACAUUAUAUUUCAGUAAAUAAUCCUUUCAAUAUC